rnacentral:rRNA from 1 species
UGGGGAAUUUUGGACAAUGGGCGCAAGCCUGAUCCAGCAAUGCCGCGUGCAGGAUGAAGGCCUUCGGGUUGUAAACUGCUUUUGUACGGAACGAAACGGCUCUGGUUAAUACCUGGGGCUAAUGACGGUACCGUAAGAAUAAGCACCGGCUAACUACGUGCCAGCAGCCGCGGUAAUUCGUAGGGUGCGAGCGUUAAUCGGAAUUACUGGGCGUAAAGCGUGUGCAGGCGGUGAUGUAAGACAGAUGUGAAAUCCCCGGGCUCAACCUGGGACCUGCAUUUAUGACUGCAUCGCUGUAGUGCUGCAGAGGGGGAUGGAAUUCCGCGUGUAGCAGUGAGAUGCGUAGAUAUGCGGAGGAACACCGAUGGCGAAGGCAAUCCCCUGGGCCUGCACUGACGCUCAUGCACGAAAGCGUGGGGAGCAAACA